rnacentral:lncRNA from 10 species
GGCUGCUAAGGUCUUCUGUAUCUCUUUUUCUCCCGCUAGGGAAAUUGUGGCUGCAUGAAUCCCUCUUGACACUGAACCUGUCUUGUGGCUUGCUUGUAGUGCUGGUGGCACUGGUGUUUGAUGAGUGGCACCCAUGGAGUGGCCAUGUUGCUGAGGCCUGCAGCACAGCUGGAACAACCAAAUCUCAAAGAAAUGCAUAAUAAGGAAGACACUAAUGGAUGCAGGCGACAGAUAAGGGAGAAGGUCCCCAGAGAAUCUCCAACAGGCCGGUGCACUGGGAGGGUGGGGUGGAGCCUCGGAAGUUCACGCCAUUUGAAGAGGGGAGGAGCCUGGCCUCUCCUGUUCGUGUGUGGUAACCUGGGAUUCAAUAGGUGAGGUGGAGACCCUGUUAACAGGAUUCCAUCCCACUUUGCUGAGAUGUUUUUUCUUUUUCCUUUUCACCCAAUAAAUUCUGUUCCCUGUCACCCUUCAAAGUGUCUGGGAGCAUAAUCUUUCCUGGUUAUGUAACAAAAACCUGGUUUUUCCUAGAACACCGUAAACUAUGGACACUAUAAUCUACAAAUGGCAUGCUGAGGCUGGAAACCCAAAAUCAU